CCUGUUGUUGGGCCAUGUAAAGGCACCUUCCCACGCUGGUUCUAUGAUGCAGUCGCUGGAGUGUGUAAACAUUUCAUCUACGGGGGCUGCAAGGGAAACCACAACAACUUCCUGCAGGAGACAGACUGCAUUAACUGAAUGCAUACAGAAAAGUCUUCUAUCAAGCAAACAACAAUGGCCCCUGCCCCAAGCAAAUACACAGAAGCAGCUACGGCCCCUAAAAUGGGAGUAAACCUGAGAGUGAAAUCCCAAUAUCCAAACCAUACACAGUGAUGGGAGCACACCCAGUGCCUGCGUCAGGUGCGAUUCUUCCAUUAGCUUUCGGUCUGAUCAUCACAGCCCUCCUGCUGCUCAUGAUUGGCUGUCGCCUGAGGCUGGUCCGCCACAAGAUGAAGAAGGCCCGACCUCUCACUACUGAGGAAUCUGAUUACCU